rnacentral:rRNA from 1 species
UACGGAGGGUGCAAGCGUUAUCCGGAAUCACUGGGUUUAAAGGGUGCGUAGGCGGUUAAAUAAGUCAGAAGUGAAAGGUUGUCGCUUAACGAUAAAAUUGCUUUUGAAACUGUAUAACUUGAAUUAGGUUGAGGUAGGCGGAAUGUGACAUGUAGCGGUGAAAUGCAUAGAUAUGUCAUGGAACACCAAUUGCGAAGGCAGCUUACUAGACCUAUAUUGACGCUGAGGCACGAAAGCGUGGGGAGCGAACAGG